UCUCCGUAGGUGAACCUGCGGAGGGAUCAUUACAAGAGUGAGGGCCCUCGCGGCCCGAACCUCCAACCCCCUGUCUUCCGACUCUGUUGCCCCGGGGGCGACCCGGCCCUCUGGGCGUCGGGGCCCCCGGUGGCUCACACCUCAACUCUUGCAUCUGUGCGUCUGAGUAACAUAUUGAAUCAAUCAAAACUUUCAACAACGGAUCUCUUGGUUCUGGCAUCGAUGAAGAACGCAGC
rnacentral:misc_RNA from 1 species